UGUGUUUCGGCUGAGUGGAAGACAUUUCAUUGAGAGUUAGUAUGUACGACGCACAGGUAUUUAUUGAACCUGGGUGGUUUUAUUGCCUCCUCCCACAACCCUAUCAGGCAGGAAACUACAGCACUGCCUGUGAAUAAACCGAGGCUGAGAAGUGGAGCCAAUGUGAUGCAAACGCAGGCGAGCCCAAUUUCAGAAGACGAGGUCUUUGAUGUGGGAAUUAAAAUGGGGCAAGUACUGGAAUAAUGAGAGGAGAGGGCAUUGUGAACUGGGGGACUCAAUCAAGACUGCCUGGGAGGGGAGGAUAAGCAGUGUGUGCUGAGGGUUCCAGAAUCCCACGGUCAAAACUCGCAGUGGACUGGUGGGAUCUGGGGUGGCGAGGGCAGUGGGAGCGAAGGCAGGCGUAAGACACGUCAAGGCUUGCAAACCAGAAAAGCUGACGGGGACAUGCACGGAGAGGAAGCCCAGGAUCUGAUCUUUUGUGCCUAUGUUUUUUUUUCCAUAAGGUAAUUCUGGCGGUGGUGUGAAAGCACAGGAUUUGAAAGAUGAAAGACAAAAAGGGACCAAUUAAGGAACAGCUAUAUGGAGUCCUAUUUACAUCCUCAUGAAGUUAGAGAUGUGGGACAAGCUUGGCACCCCGGAGCUGUUUGCCUCACUGAGAGUCGUCAGCUGGGAAGCGAUGCUCUGCGUGCUGCGCUGGUAUGCGGUAUGCGCUCUCCACCAGGUUCUCACUCUGUAGGCCGGGCUGGCCUUGAACUCACAGUGAUCUGCCUGCCUCAGCCUCCCAAGUGGUGGAAUUCAGGUGUGUGCCACCACUCCUGGCUAAACAUCAAUUUUCUGAUAUUCCUAAAUUCUCAAGUAAUUCUCA